GGGGGUGGGGUCAGUGGCUGGUCCUGCACCUGCACCACACCGUGAGCUCCUAGGACCAUCAGCCAUCAGGAGCCAGUGCAGAGCAGGAGGAUUGAGUGACAGCUGAAGGCAGCAGUGAGAAACUGAAAACUUACCCCAGACCUACCAAGGAGGAGGAGGUGUUCCAGCCCUUCCCUGUGAGUGGCCCUGAGGGAGGACAUGUCCUUCCUUCUUGCCUGGGGAUAGGGAAGCAGGCAGGGCCUCUCCCAGGAAGUGUUUUCAGGCUUUUUAGGUCCAUCUCACUGGAGAUCACAGAACUGCUCCUUCCACCCAAUGAGCAGGGUGUGAGCCUGUCCACCUGCAGCCAGCUGAGGACGCCCAGUCUGGCCUCCACCCGGCUCUUCCCAUGCAGAUACGGCCAGCCUGGCCUCCACCUGGCUCUUCCCAUGCAGACACGGCCAGCCUCCUAGUCACACUCAGUCCUCUACUUCACUCUGUCUAUUCUAAUUCCAAGUGUCUUCUUGUGCAGAAGUUUGGGAGAGGCAUCCUGUGAGCAGGUGGCUUCUUCUGGCGAUGCCCCCACCCCAGCCAGCCUCCAAUAACAACAGGAACAUCAUCGGAAAGGAACUUUGGGAAUUUCCUCCUGGGCUGACCGUCCCCAGCUGGCGUCCAGCUCUCUGUGGCUCCCCACCUCCAUCCACUGUCCAGGGAGGUCUCCAACACCUUGACAGCUCUCCUGGCUCUACCCAGGGGUGGCCUCCCAAGGCAGGAAGAGCUCAUUUUCUCCCCACAGUGGUGAGAGCAGGACCCGGUCUUGGCACCACUACGGAAAUAACCUGGUCCCUGCAGGUGUUCCAGCGUCUCUUCCUUGGCAAUCUCUUGCAAAUUACCACCAAGAUGCAAUGCAGGCCCAAGUGUGCCUGGUUGAUGGUCAUGUCUGCAUUAUCAGUCCUCAAUCCAACUGGUCCCAGGGAUAGGCAUGCUCUAGGACUUUUGCCAUGUCACACCGACAAGAGUGACAGAGCCUUCGGCCUCCCCUAAGAAAUCUGAGGUCCCUGGGAUCCACUUCUCCAUGAUGGGCAAGGCUGCAGCCCCUCAUCAGAGUCCUGUUCUCUCUGUCUGGCCGCCAGCUGCUAAAUCCAGCUGUGCACAGAUUCCAAGGUUUUGCUGACCAGGACUUGAAUUGGGGUUCACAUUACAAGGACACUUGCAAGUCGCUCCAGCAGACAAACUCCAGACGAACACAGCACGGUUCAUGGAGAUUUAUGUACACAGAGCAGAGACGACACCCACCCAGGUCCAGCUGGACACGCACACCUCGGCCUGGGGAGGCAUCUGGCGUGGGGACGAGGACUCGAGCCAGUCCCCAGACAGUGUGGUGGCUGCCGAUCCCUUGGUUUCUAGUAAUUGCACUUAAUUUCCUGGCAUUUAGGUCUCUGCCCCCUUGGGCUCUUAAAGGUGCCAGAGCUGGGACAUGAAUGUGACAAAAUCCCUGCAGAGUUCUUAGGGCUUGGGCUGGCCGGGACCCAGCCAUGUGUCCAAAGGCUUCCCCUUAAAGCUGUUGUCAAAUAUACAUAAAUUCUGUUUGCAGUCUCUGGA